UUUCUAUGAUAAAAUUCUUCUUCGUCUGAUUAAUUUUCCCUUUCUUUUUCCUCUUCACUUAAAUUAGUAAUUUAUUUCAAUAGGGUUCAGUGAAUAUCAUUUGUACUGAUCUGUUUCAAUUGGUGUCUGUCUUAUGCUGGGUUAGUUUUUAAAUACGGUAAUCUGGAUCCUUCUAAUGAGUUUUUCACAUGAGCAGCAAAAUUUUGUUCUUCGGUGUACUUAAUAGUAGUGGAAAUUCAUAAUUCUCUGAUUAGGUGGUUGAUUUAUGAGUUUGGAAGAUUUGAUGAAAUAGGUUAAUUGAUCUCUGCUAAUUUUAGCAUAUUACAUGGGGUCUGGUUCCAUAUCCUCCCCUCCAAAACUCAAUUGGUCGAUUUGCUUAUUUAUGAUUGUUCCGACUGAAAAAAUCAAAGAAAUCCUGGUGCAAUGAAGUCCUUGGGAGCAAAAGAAGGAGGAAACGUCCAUUUAGAGCGCAAAGGAAAGAAAGGCCAAUUCACAGGUCAGCGAUGGAGCGGCUAAAAUUGCACAAGAAAGAGGUGAUGCCUAAAACAGACAAUUAAGCAAGAAAGAAUGAAAUGUCAGUUGCAUGGAACUGACAGGCCAAAUGAUAGUGGAUAACCCUUAUCCAACUUCUGGGCACAUGUAGUAAUUUUAUCUAUUACAACCCAGAAAUAUCUUCUCUUCUCAUUAUUGUGUCGGUCUGAAAGUUAGAAACGAGAGAAGCCAUGGCGGCUGUUUUGAGAAGAUGAUGGUGAAGACUGAUCUGAAAUUGAGAGAUUGCCAGAGAGAAAAGGUUGCUGCUGAGGGUGGAAUUUAUACUGCUAUUAACAGAGACGAGUUGGUCCCAAUUUGAUAAGAAUCAGAGAUGGUUUUAUGUGGCUGAGUCUCUGGUCGAGUUGUGAGAAGGGAAUGGAGAUAACAAGGUGAUUAUGGUGUUAACAGAAGGAAUUGGAUUUGGGUUUGUGCUGAAGCUGAAAUUGCAGCAGAUACGAACAGAUAUUGAGAGCUAAAUGAGUUUGAAAUCUAGAAUUUUAGAAACUAGGGUCUGUUGAUUGAGAACCUAAUGAAGAAAUUGAUGGGUUCGACCUAUUAGAGAUGGAGAUAUUUUUGUUGUUGGUGGUGGUCAAGAUUGAAGAUGUACUGCAGUAUGGUUUUGAUUGUUACUGCUUGUGUUGAGAAUGUUUGCAGUUCAGGUUAAUAUGUUGAAGUUGUGGCUGAUGUUUGAUGGAUCUCCGCAAGAACAAGAAUCAGUGGUGUUAAUGAAAUGAAUGUCUUGAAGCAGUUCUGGAUGUUGAUAUGGCAGGGAGUGCCUUGUGUUGCUUCUAAAAGGGUUUGGAUGGUGUUACAUAUGAGCAGAUCCUAAUGAAUGUUAAGACAUUGAAGGUUGAGAUGGAAUCAACGCAGUCGAGGGCACUGGUGAUGGAGCUAAUGCUGCUGAUAGUUGAACUGAAUCUGUGUAGAUGAAUGUAUAGGGUUCAGGUGGUGAUGCUAUGGGUUUGGUUCAUCAUGAAGUUGCAGGUGAACUGCAGUUGUCAUGGGAAGAGAAGCUGGUGCUAUUGAUUUUGCCGCAGAUGAAGGUGGAAUGUAAGUUUGAAUGGGAUUGUGGUGUUGAUUGGCUUGGAGCAAAGUUGCUGCUAAUGGUAGUACAGCUGCAGGAUUGAAAUGUUGUCUAGAUGAAUGUUUAGGUUACAGGUGCAAUGGCUAGGCAGAGAUGAAUUGGUUGUUUGCAGUGGACUGGAAAUGAUGAUUGCAUGCAGCUAGUCAUGCUGUUUGUAGUUUGAAUCUGCAGUUUAGGUUGUACUGGGUUUGUGGUAUAGUUGGUGAUGUCAGGGUGCCAUUGGUGUUGAUGUGAUGCUGGUUGUACUGAGAUUGGAGCUGUAAUGCGGAGAAGGGUACAGUUGCAGGUGGGAUGCUACUGCCGUUAUUUACAGGGAAGUUGUGAAUGAAAUUGAGAUUGUUGCUAGUUCAUGUGGAAAGAAAUUGCAAGGUUGCAGUCUUGAGUUUUAUUGAGUUUAAAGCAAAGAAUUGGAUCUUGUGCCACGUUGUAUACAAUGGACUCAUGGAAGAUUGUGGAGCUUAUUUCAGGUGGCUCUCAACAAGAAUAAGAAUGAAGUGCAGCUGAGACUUUAGCUGUUAUUGGAGGACUUGAAACCCAAAUGAGAAUGUUUUUGGGUUCAACUCAAGUUGAAUAUUGCAGGCAUGGAAUGGGUAUUACAGAGUGGUGGUUGCAGUGAGGCAGUGAUUGUGCAAUUGAGGUGAGAAGAUACGAAGUCGCAACAAUGAAUUGCACUGGUUGUGUUACAGGUUGCCUGAGAUGUCGCACUGCAGAUUAGGAAGUAGAGCUGGUAGAUUGUGUUGCGAAUGUGGGAGUAACUGGACUGAAGUUGGUGGUUGAAAUGAUUGCAUUCAAGCAGAGGUAUUGUUGUUGCUCUGAGCUGAGGUGAAGGAAUGAAUGGUUUCGUUUAAGGUUAUGUUGGUGAUGUCUUUGUUUUGGUGGAGGUAAUGUAGAGCCAUCAUGGCUGAAGCUGAAGCUGUGACAAGCAAUGAUUGUGCAACAGAAUCUUAGACCUUUGCAGUGGCUUUGUCCUAGAACUAAGUCAGCUGAGUUAGCACUGACCCUGAUCUGACUUAGCUGACAUCAUAUUCUGAAUCCAACUCACCUGACUCGUACCCUGACUCAGUAACUUUGACUGAGUGACUCAGUUGACCAGACCGAGUUCAAUCGUUGACCGGUGACCGGGUGGACUUUGUCGGUCACCUGAGCUAUGUUCCGAUCACUUUUCCGUCCAAGUUCCGGCCACUUUACCAGUAUUCCAGCGACAUCUUUUGGGACAUAUUUUCUACAUGGGUUUUUCUCACUCUUGUUGGACCACUUGGAUUUUGGGCUUUGAAGACCUAGUUUUGGAAAGAUGAAAAGCUACAAAAGGAGAAAGUUUCUACUUUGAUUAUUACAUAUUUUUCUACUUGGAGAUUUGGAGAACGGAGACUAGGGUUUGGUUUCAUAUAUUUUUCAUUUUUUUAUUUUAUGAAAAUGAUUAUGUUGAACUCCAUCAAUAUGAGUAGCUAAAUGCUAUUAUUGGUUAUGGGAUAAAGUGGAUUUCACAAAAGAUAUUUGAUUCAAUGAAUUAGUUUUGUCUC